rnacentral:rRNA from 1 species
UACGUAGGGUGCAGGCGUUAAUCGGAAUUACUGGGCGUAAAGCGUGCGCAGGCGGUUUGCUAAGACAGGUGUGAAAUCCCCGGGCUUAACCUGGGAACUGCGCUUGUUACUGGCAGGCUUGAGUGUGGCAGAGGGGGGUGGAAUUCCACGUGUAGCAGUGAAAUGCGUAGAGAUGUGGAGGAACACCGAUGGCGAAGGCAGCCCCCUGGGCUAACACUGACGCCUCAUGCACGAAAGCGUGG